GGCUUGUCCAACUGCAGUGGUGUUUACAACUAAUUUGAUCACAACCAAUUAUAUGUUCCUUUUGUUCCUUCUUCACUCCCACUUCUUUACUUGACUAGCCUAAA
ensembl:misc_RNA Y_RNA Y RNA